rnacentral:rRNA from 1 species
AUUGAACGCUGGCGGCAUGCUUUACACAUGCAAGUCGAACGGCAGCGGGGGCUUCGGCCCGCCGGCGAGUGGCGAACGGGUGAGUAAUGCAUCGGAACGUGCCCAGUCGUGGGGGAUAACUACGCGAAAGCGUAGCUAAUACCGCAUACGUCCUGAGGGAGAAAGCGGGGGAUCUUCGGACCUCGCGCGAUUGGAGCGGCCGAUGUCGGAUUAGCUAGUUGGUGAGGUAAAGGCUCACCAAGGCGACGAUCCGUAGCUGGUCUGAGAGGAUGAUCAGCCACACUGGGACUGAGACACGGCCCAGACUCCUACGGGAGGCAGCAGUGGGGAAUAUUGGACAAUGGGCGAAAGCCUGAUCCAGCCAUGCCGCGUGAGUGAUGAAGGCCCUAGGGUUGUAAAGCUCUUUCAGUGGGGAAGAUAAUGACGGUACCCA